CGUACCGUGAGGUAUUCUGGAGCGUCUGGAAAAGCAAAUGUAGGUAUAAGUAACGAUAAAGGGGGCGGGAAACCCCCUCGCCGAAAGACUAAGGUUUCCUGAUCAACGCUAAUCGGAUCAGGGUCAGUCGGGUCCUAAGGCUCAGCCGAACGGCGAUGCCGAUGGCAGAAACGGUUAAUAUUCCGUUACUACCUUCAGGAGUGACGUGGAGACGCAGUAGUGACAGUGCCGCCAUCUGACGGAAUAGAUGGUUGAAGGGUGUAGGAGUCGAUCAUGGCAGGAAAAUCCACCAUGAGAUCCGAACCUGACAGUAUGCCGCGUCCUUUGGGGACAAGGCAAUAGUGCGCGUAAGCAUGCUGCCGAGAAAAUCCGCUAAACUUAAUCCUGCAGGUACCCGUACCGCAAACGGACACACGUAGUCGGGAUGAAUAUUCUAAGGCGCUUGAGUGAUUCACGGUUAAGGAACUAGGCAAACUGACCCUGUAACUUCGGGAUAAAGGGUCCCUACCCUUUUAUGGGAGGGCGCAGAG
rnacentral:rRNA from 1 species